GACUGAGCCUCUCCUUUGUGUAACAGGCAGCAAGGAAGGUUUUAACAGGACUGUGUGACCAGCCUAGAUGGAAAGUUCAGAGAUACAGGAGGACUAUGAGGAGGAAGAAAAGCAGGAGGGAACAGUGGCUUCUGAUUUCACCAUACAAGUGCUCGCUCUGUGCCCCAGGGGAAUCCCAUGGCCAGCUGUGAAGGCAGGAAGAGGAGAAUCAAGCAUGAAGCCAGCCUCCAGGGCAGCAGCUGAUGCUGAGCAGGUGGGUGAGGGACCGCAGCGUACCUGGCCCUGACCCAGGCUCGACACAGCCGGCCGCUCACAUCCACCUAUCCAUCUAUCACUCACAUAUACACCUAUUUCUCCCAACUGCUCCUUCUCUUUAAGGAGUUCUCUUUAUAUUAUUUUAAUUUUUUAAGACUGGGUCUCUCUAUGUAGCCUUGGCUCUCCUGGCAGUCUCCAUGCAGAGCAGGCUGGCCUCGAACUCACAGAGAUCUGCCUGCCUUUGCCAACCAAGUGCUGGGGUUAAUGGUGUGUGCCACCAUACCCAGACCAAAGAUUUCUUUUCCCUGCCCCCACACUCCUCGGCUCUGAGGGUCUUACACUUGUUAGGCAAUCAAUCAGUCUAUCACUGAGCUAAAACCCCAACCCCAAGAUUUCUGUUUUUAUUUAAAAAAUAUUAAAUUUA
rnacentral:lncRNA from 1 species